UCCUGGUUAGCUCAGUUAGUAGAGCGCUCCACUGGAAAUGUAGAGGUUUCUGUUUCGACACCUGGACCAGGCG
rnacentral:tRNA from 2 species